UACGAAGGGGGCUAGCGUUGUUCGGAAUUACUGGGCGUAAAGGGCGCGUAGGCGGUCCUUCAAGUCAGGCGUGAAAGCCCCGGGCUCAACCUGGGAACCGCGCUUGAGACUGGCGGACUCGAGUUCGGGAGAGGAUGGUGGAAUUCCCAGUGUAGAGGUGAAAUUCGUAGAUAUUGGGAAGAACACCGAUGGCGAAGGCAGCCAUCUGGACCGACACUGACGCUGAGGCGCGAAAGCGUGGGGAGCAAACAGGAUUAGAAACCCUCGUAGUCC
rnacentral:rRNA from 1 species